rnacentral:tRNA from 1 species
UCGCUUAGCUCAGUUGGCAGAGCGCCCGCGUUAAGCAGACGGAGGGGCCGAGUUCGAUUCCGGCAUGGC